GAUGAACGCUGGCGGCGUGCCUAAUACAUGCAAGUCGAGCGAACAGACGAGGAGCUUGCUCCUCUGACGUUAGCGGCGGACGGGUGAGUAACACGUGGAUAACCUACCUAUAAGACUGGGAUAACUUCGGGAAACCGGAGCUAAUACCGGAUAAUAUAUUGAACCGCAUGGUUCAAUAGUGAAAGACGGUUUUGCUGUCACUUAUAGAUGGAUCCGCGCCGCAUUAGCUAGUUGGUAAGGUAACGGCUUACCAAGGCAACGAUGCGUAGCCGACCUGAGAGGGUGAUCAGCCACACUGGAACUGAGACACGGUCCAGACUCCGACGGGAGGCAGCAGUAGGGAAUCUUCCGCAAUGGGCGAAAGCCUGACGGAGCAACGCCGCGUGAGUGAUGAAGGUCUUCGGAUCGUAAAACUCUGUUAUUAGGGAAGAACAAAUGUGUAAGUAACUAUGCACGUCUUGACGGUACCUAAUCAGAAAGCCACGGCUAACUACGUG
rnacentral:rRNA from 1 species